AAUAGAUUUAUGCGUGGAAGUCUGUGCAGAGUUGGAGGCUGCAUCGUAGCUGUUUUCAGUUCUCCUUUUGGAGACAGAGCGUGUGUUUUUUCUCACCCGCUCUGAACAGCUCGCAGAGCGCCGGUUUUCCUUUCUGGAGGUCUCCGGCGCCAUGAGCAAAUUUACAGGAUUCGUCGUCAAAAGGACAUGCCUUUUUUCUCCAGGCGGCGCAGAUUUUCGUUUUCUUCAUGAGAGGCCGCACGCGCAGGUCUUCGAGCGAGUGCGCAAAGGUGCAGGAGCUACCACGUCUGCAGCGGCCCGCGAGGGCGAAGCGGCAGAACUGGAUCUUGUAGAUUCUGCAGAAAGGGAGCAGAGGGGACGCGAAGCUCCAGGCGCUUUGAAGGAGAGCCGGGCGCAGCGAAAAGAGGAAUGAGGAACGCCGGACCUCAGAGAGCAAAGGGCACCCUCGGCCGUCGCGAACGGGACGAAAAGAGACGAAACAGAAGAAGGCCGCAAACCCACCGCCAGUGAAGCAAGCCCCGAGGGAGAGAAGAGAGAGAAAAGAACGGGGAGGAGUAAGGGCGAAUCUCCGACAGCGAGGACGGACAGACACAGAGAAUGGGAAAGGAAAGAAGCAAGAAACGCGUUGAGUCACUUACUUGAACCGGUGAUCGUGGACAUCCGUACCAGGCACGGUGUCUCGUCGCGUACUGGAAGUCUCCAUGGUGUGGGGUUGUCGUGUUUCGCGUCGCUCCUUGUUUCCUUUUUCGUCUGUCGUCCCUCUGUUCUCCACGUUGUUUGUACGUUUGCUUCUCUCGCCUGAGCCUUCGUCUCACCUAUUCUUUCCUGCUCUUUCUAUCCUCGCAGACGUUCUCUUCUCUCUGCGUUCCUCACUUUAUCUCCCCUUGCUCGGCUUCUGCUGUUCCCGUGGUGGGCAAGGAAUCCUCCGCGUAUCCGGUGUAUUCUCCCUCGCGGGCCGUCCAGAGCCUUUCUGUCGGCAACCGACUCGCUCUUUCUCCCAGAGACGAUACGCCUCAGAGCCGAUUCCGUGUCGUCUUCUCUCUAGAGACGGAGACAGUAUGAGUGGGGACAAGCUGUGCUCGUGCCUCCUCUCAGAUCCACUUUUGGAAAAAAAGGAAAAGGUGCUGGCAGACAGUGCAGAAGAAACCCGGCGAGAAAGAAAGCGCGAAUAGGGUCUCGUUCUGAGAAGUCGGGGACCCGAAGGAGACGGUUCCUCCGUCUCUGUGUUUUACAUUUCCAGCAACCAAAUCAGCGAAAACGCAUUCAGCAAGCCUAUACACAUUGCGCAGUUGUAAACCUACAUGGCGUGCUCGAAUACACACGAAGCCUCGCAGAAGGUCAUUCCCUCACCAACACAUGCAUGUACACAUUUAGAGAUGCAUGUAUAUUUAUACAUAUGCAUAUGAAUAUGCGGCUAAAGAAAAAGUGCGAUGCAUGUACCGCCGUGCUCGGGUUCCUGCACUCGAGAAUCUAUGCAUUCAUCUCCGCAUUUCAUACGGCGGGGGUCCCUGGUGGAGCAACAGGCUGUUAACAUAGUUGGGCUGUAUCGAGGUUCUGCGGGUCAUUCUUCCGUGAGGCAGCCGAACCGCAGACAACUUCAGCUUUAACAUCAAAGGGCAUGCAGUCUCUGCUUCGAACAUUCAUUUGUGUCACGGGCGCCAAAGGCUGUCUGCGGCGAGGGCGCUGAGCAGCCCUGGUCGCAGUUUGCAUUCGAGGGAAGGUACGGGAGAAAAGGUAGCGCCUGGGGGCAGAGCGACGAAGGCUGGCCCUGAUGGCCAGAGACAGGUCAGACACGCAGAAGCACUGGGAAGCGCGCGGCGGGGAAGUCGCUGUUCACCGGGUCUCCAAAUCAACAUUGUCUUUUACGGCGGAAGAAAGAAGCGAUUCACCGAAGCGAGCCAAAAAAAGGCUUUUCGAGUCACUGGUGUGCAGGUCCGGCCGACCGGAAAGCUCAGGUGUAUGUACACCUGAACUUUCCUGGUGUCUGUCGAGCCGAAAUCUCGGGUGUACAUUCACCUCAUGUGGCGUCGCCUGGCAAGACAAGAAGGCUCGCGGGCAGGGCGGAGGCAGAAAAGAGCCUUUCCUGCGGCUAAAACAGAUUCGCCAAGCGUCGUAGACCGGAAGGGCCACGUUUCGCGUCCAACUGGCGGUGCGUGGAGGCGCUGGACUUUUUUCGGCAGUGAAAACCGACACGACGCACGCAGCGGGCUCGCCGCUCUCGAGGGGACCCUCUACGUACAAGGCGCAGGGGGGCGGCAUUCGCGGCGAAAAGCCGCAGAAACUGGAGUUCUGCGACGACAAUCGCGGGAGGUUUCGGCAGUUGGGGUCGCGAGACAGUCGUAGGAGGAGAACGAAGAAAGAAUUUCUUGCGCGAGGUCGUUCGACUCGCCGUGGCUCGCGUGCGGUCGUUGCGGGACUGGAAGACAGAGAGAGAGCAACACAGAAGAUGUCCCAAGCGCGAGAACAGGAGCCUGUCGAGUUGACGAUGUCUGCAGAGGAAAGUGCACAACGGAGAAUCCGCCCUGUCGCAGUCGAGGACGAGGGCCGAGGCGGCGCGGACAACGAUGUAACACCAGCUCCCACAACCGCGUUUUCUUCUGUCCCACGCGUCGCGACGAUGUCCCACGAGAGAGGUGCCAGGCCACCGACCCAAACCAACACGGUUCAAGACAGCGCGAGACUUUUCGCCGGAGGAACGAGCGCAAGGCUGGUCUGCAGACGCCCCGCGCGUUUUCGCGCCCCUUUUUGAAGAGAAGUUUGUACGCAGACAUCUGCUCUCCCAAGUUCGCUCUCCUCCAUCACGAAAGACUCGCACACACCUCGAGUCACCAGCGGACAAACACGAAGCGGCAGGCGAGACACCUGCCCAGCUGUGGCACCACCGGAGUCCGCACAAGCUGCAGAGAAGAGGAGGUCUGCGUUCAGCGCGGCUCUGGAUUCCUGCUUCUCUGUCGAGAAAUGCAGCUCUUUUCACACAGUCACAAAAAUGCAGAAACCGGUCUGUCUUCCGAUGCGCUUCAAGGGAGGCUCGAGACUCCCGCGCCGAAAGACAACUGGAUUGCCUCACACAUCGUGGGCCAUGCAGCGUCUGUCUCGGCACAUUUGGCCAGGGCACCGCAUCACGCAGAUUUCCCUUUUUUUCCGGCAGAAACCACACGUCGUUUCGCACGUUCGAGUGCGGUGAAACUGCAGACACACACAUGUCGGGACGGGAAGCCACUCUUCCCUCACGCGGAGCCCAGUCAAGGGCCUCCGUCGCUUGUUUCGUUGACGCUUCGCCUUUUUCCGCUAUACGCAGCAGAUCCCCUGCUCGUUCCAGUGAACUCACAGAACAGCCGCGGCACGGAUAACGCGACGAGUGCAGCUGAUUAGCUUAAACUGAGGAGUCAAGAAGGUACAAACCGUACAAGGAUUCUUUAUGUCCACCUGUGCAUCCAAGUUGAUACUCGGUUCUAUAUGUUACACGCUAACUUCCCGGCUAAACACUCGAGUGGGCCAGUAAAAAAAGAAAACUACACGAACGGUAGAUUUAUGGGCUGCUCUAUGUUUUUUAUUCUUCUGUGGACUCUAGGAGGUACAAGAGAUGUUGUUAU
rnacentral:lncRNA from 1 species